UACAGAGGUGGCGAGCGUUAUUCGGAAUUAUUGGGGCGUAAAGGGCGCGUAGGCGGCCAAGCAAGUCCUGGGUGAAAUCCCUCGGCUCAACCGAGGAACUGCCUCGGAAACUGCAUGGCUCGAGGCCGGGAGAGGGUAGCGGAAUUCCCAGUGUAGCGGUGAAAUGCGUAGAUAUUAGGAAGAACACCGGUGGCGAAGGCGGCCCACUGGAUCGGUACUGACGCUGAGGUGCGAAAGCGUGGGGAGCAAACAGG
rnacentral:rRNA from 1 species